rnacentral:misc_RNA from 1 species
AUUUUUGCAUUUCCCACUUUCCUUUCUGUCUUUGCUUUUCAUUACCCGUCUCUGGUCUUAGACCCUUGUCCUUCUGCUCCAACAAUUGCUGGGACAAUUCUAUAGCCUGUCCAAUCACCCCAUGUUCAUCUAUGCACGUGUUAGUUGAGUUUUUCCGCUUGAGAUUCGUUCGCUGACAAACUCGGCAGACUUUCUCCCUGUUUUGACGUUUACGUGAGGAUAUACCAAGUCCAGAUUGCUCUG